rnacentral:lncRNA from 1 species
GGCGUCAUGUCCAAGUUAGUAAUGGACUCAACCAUGCUUACCGUGAAGGGAGCUUGGGGACCAUAGGUUGUUACAGCCUCCUUUAACUGCUUCACUGUUUUAAAAUCUAAAGCAUGGUGAAUUCGCUGCCCUCCUGCCUGUUCAAGUACAGGGCAUGCUAAUCUUUGAGGUCCUGUCUCAGGAUCCCAUUUAUCAACUACGGGGUUUGAGGGCCACUCAGCUGUCUCCAUCGGUGGGGCUGUUGGUUGAAUUACGCCCUCUUGUGAUAAAACGGAGUUAGUAACAGCCUCCUGUUGUGGCCUUUUUCCUAACAACCCCUUUUCCUUUAAAUUUUCUUCCUCUGUCUGACUAGCUCGAGAGACCUUCUCUUUUGCUUGAUCUAAAAUGUCUUUCUCCAUGGUCUGAACCUCUAACAAUUUACUUAACAUCUUUUCGGUUUGUUUUUUACUAAUUUCUAAUCUACUAUAAAGAUAACGCAACCCAAUAAGAUAGCACAAAACAAAGCCGAAACUGAAUGAAACAAAAACGGAAUAAAAAAUCGUUGUAUCAAUUUUCUCUUCCUCAGGGCCGACAAACUUCAAACCUUUAGUCAACCAUUUUUUCCAGUUUGCCUGAGAAAUUUCUAGGGAUAGGCAGCUUGAAACAAAAACAAGAUAAAUCAAAACAAUAACACAUUGUUUUUUGAAAUGUUCACCCAUUCUUUCUCUCUUCCUCAAGGGUGAGAAAUUUCACUUACCUCUAAGCUUCAGAAGUUCCCCGCACGGGCCGCCAAAUGCCGCAGUCUGGCUGGGCACAAAUGCCGCAGUCUGGCUGGGCACACAAUCACGAGCCACCACACAGCUUGUAGAUUCAAACAGCAACUCUUUAUUCCCGAACUCACACCAGCC